UAUCUUUGCCGCUGAUGGAAAAUCCAUUUGUACAUAAAAAUCAUUGAAAUAAUAUUGGAAUG
rnacentral:ncRNA from 1 species